rnacentral:rRNA from 1 species
AUUGAACGCUGGCGGCAGGCUUAACACAUGCAAGUCGAACGGCAGCACAGGCUUCGGCCGGGUGGCGAGUGGCGGACGGGUGAGUAACACGUAGGAAUCUGCCUGGUAAUGGGGGAUAACCCGGGGAAACUCGGGCUAAUACCGCAUACGCUCCACGGAGGAAAGCGGGGGAUCUUCGGACCUCGCGUUAUCAGAUGAGCCUGCGUCCGAUUAGCUAGUUGGCGGGGUAAAGGCCCACCAAGGCGACGAUCGGUAGCUGGUCUGAGAGGACGAUCAGCCACACUGGAACGGAGACACGGUCCAGACUCCUACGGGAGGCAGCAGUGGGGAAUAUUGGACAAUGGGCGCAAGCCUGAUCCAGCCAUGCCGCGUGUGUGAAGAAGGCCUGCGGGUUGUAAAGCACUUUAAGCAGGAGGAGGCUACCUAGAUUAAUACUCUGGGAUAGUGGACGUUACUCGCAGAAUAAGCACCGGCUAACUCUGUGCCAGCCGCCGCAGUAAGAC